AUUUUGCUCACAAUGUCACCUUGUAAUAAUCUGACUGAAUUCUAUGGCUGGAACUCCAGGUUACAGGCGACUUGCCACUUGGUGUGGGAAAAGAGAACAAUUUGUAAUCUUAGCAUAUUUCUUAAGUUUUACUUUUCCUAACCUCACUUGGGUCAGCAGAAUCCCACCAGCAGCGUCCAUGUGACUCCCAGACCUCUGCUAGUUAUAGCUGUUCCUCAUU